rnacentral:rRNA from 1 species
AGUCCUACGGGAGGCAGCAGUAGGGAAUCUUCCACAAUGGACGAAAGUCUGAUGGAGCAACGCCGCGUGAGUGAAGAAGGGUUUCGGCUCGUAAAGCUCUGUUGGUAGUGAAGAAAGAUAGAGGUAGUAACUGACCUUUAUUUGACGGUAAUUACUUAGAAAGUCACGGCUAACUACGUGCCAGCAGCCGCGGGAAUACGUAGGUGGCAAGCGUUGUCCGGAUUUUUUGGGGGUAAAGCGAGUGCAGGCGGUUCAAUAAGGUUUA